rnacentral:piRNA from 1 species
UAGCUAAUUUCUGUUUACAGAAUUUACUU